rnacentral:rRNA from 1 species
UCGGCCACAUUGGGACUGAGACACGGCCCAAACUCCUACGGGAGGCAGCAGUAGGGAAUCUUCCGCAAUGGGCGAAAGCCUGACGGAGCAAUGCCGCGUGAGUGAAGAAGGCCUUCGGGUCGUAAAACUCUGUUAUAAGAGAAGAACAAAUUGUAGAGUAACUGCUACAGUCUUGACGGUAUCUUAUCAGAAAGCCACGGCUAACUACGUGCCAGCAGCCGCGGUAAUACGUAGGUGGCAAGCGUUGUCCGGAUUUAUUGGGCGUAAAGGGAGCGCAGGUGGUUUCUUAAGUCUGAUGUGAAAGCCCACGGCUUAACCGUGGAGGGUCAUUGGAAACUGGGAAACUUGAGUACAGAAGAGGAAUGUGGAACUCCAUGUGUAGCGGUGGAAUGCGUAGAUAUAUGGAAGAACACCAGUGGCGAAGGCGACAUUCUGGUCUGUUACUGACACUGAGGCUCGAAAGCGUGGGGAGCAAACAGGAUUAGAUACCCUGGUAGUCCACGCCGUAAACGAUGAGUGCUAGGUGUUGGAGGGUUUCCGCCCU